GUGUGUUUUAUUAGAUAUUUGAUAAGGUAAAUGAAUUACAAAUAUGAUAGUCGAUGUGAAUGUUGUAACAUGUGAAUAAAUAUGCAUGAAACUCUAUGAUGUAAACCUGGGAUUAAAGACCAGAUGACCAUAUGUGGUGACUAUGUCUGGGUUAAGACCCGUUGACUUCGUGUGGAGAUUUCAUCUGAGCUAAAGGUCCCGCCG
rnacentral:lncRNA from 1 species